AGGGUUUGAUUAUGGCUCAGGAUGAACGCUGGCGGCAUGCCUAAGACAUGCAAGUCGAACGAGAUGGCCCAUUGAAGAUUGAGUGCUUGCACGAUUUCCGAUUUGGAUUCUCCAUCUAGUGGCGGACGGGUGAGUAACACGUGGGUGACCUACCUUUGAGUUUGGGACAACUACUGGAAACGGUAGCUAAUACCAAAUAAUAUACAGUUUCGUUUCUGUAUUAAAAGGCGCUUUACAGCGUCGCUCUUAGAUGGGCCUGCGGCGUAUUAGCUAGUUGGUGAGGUAAUGGCUCACCAAGGCGACGAUGCGUAGCCGGACUGAGAGGUUGAUCGGCCACAUUGGGACUGAGACACGGCCCAA
rnacentral:rRNA from 1 species